GUCACUUUGCCGGAGUGGUUAACGGGAUCGCCUGCUAUAAACAGCUAAGCGGUUGGGCUUUGCCCGCGAGUGUUCGAAUCGCUCAGGUGACG